CAAAACUCGGUAGAAAUAAGUCACAAACUUCUAAGAGAAAUACUAAGUGUCUUUAUGCAUCAGAGUCUAAAGAGAAUAAGGGGAACAACAUAAUAAGGAUAGAGGGGGACUCCGAGGUCUGCGGACGCUGGCAGAUAUACCUUGAAGUCUUCGCGUACGACUAGCUCACUGAUAUCUGGUUUGAUAGGAAGUACCUGGAUCUGCAAAAAAAGAUGUGCAGAAGUGUAGUAUGAGUACACCACAACGGUACCCAGUAAGUGCCAAGACUAACCUCGGUAGAGUUGUGACGAGGUCAGGUCAGGCCCUACAUGAAAUAAUAAAAGACAGGGUGAAAAGUUUAACAAUAUAAUAAUAAUAAUAAUGGGAAUGAGAAUGAAUUAAGUAAGGAGUAUGUCACAAUUUAACUACACAGAAUAAGGACAAAUAAUACCUCACGUAAGGAAAACAAGAAUUUUCAUAUUUAAGGAAAAUAUAAAAUAACCAAAAGCAAGUGCAGCCAUAGAGAAAUAUCAACAAGGGCACUCCUGAGAUACCGCCUCGUAGUCCCAAAUCAUAAAUAAAUUCACAAUAUUUCUUUUCCUUAUAUCACCGCGGGAGCCUUCACAUUUAAUUUUAAAGAAAUUAUUUUUCCCGAAAUAGCAUUCCGCGUUUUAGCCACCCUUAUCACACCGCAUGGCUUUUAGUAGUUCCCCCACUAGCCACGCGUAUCAAGCAACCCUUAUCUCCCCGCAUGCGUUUCAACACCCAGAUCUUAUACCACCGCAUGCGUAUCAAUAUCACAAUUUGUACCUCAAGUGCCCAAAUAUUUCAACUUGUCAAAAUAAAUCAACAACAACAUUAUUUUUCCACAAUAAGGAGCUCACGGCUCAAUCAUAAUGAAUAUAAAAUCUCACAAAAUAUUCGGGAGUGAAUAACUCAACAAAAAAAAAAAAAUUCACAAAUUUAACACUUUGCCUUAAUACUAAAUUUUGAAUGUCAAAUACUUCAUAUAAAUAAUAAUUCAAUUAAGAAAUUCAUCUUUCAAAUAAUGAGCACAGAAUAAAAGAAAUAAAGCUUCAACUAUACAGGUAAAGCAAUUAGCACGAAAAGGUAAGGCAAAUUUAAAAUAUAUAAGUAGACCAAUGAUGAUGAGUAUAACAGGAUAAUUUUUUUUUUUUUAUUAAUAUGAGACAAAAAUCUACACAAUUUCAAACUAGAAUUUUCCACAUUUAGCCCGUGUAUACACUCGUCACCUCGCGUAUAUGGCUUUCAACAUAUCACAAUUUUCAUAACAAUACCAAUUCUAAGAAAAAUUUCCCCCACACAAGGUUAGACAAGUCACUUACCUCGAACCAGGUAAUUCUUUACUCUCCUAUGCCUUUGCCUCGUGAAUUGACCUCCGAAAGCCUCGUAUCUUAAGGAUUCAAGAUUUUUAUUUAUUUAAAGAAAAAAAAACUCUAGCCACGUACACGAUAGCUACGAUGAAUUAGCAACUAAACUCAACCAACAACUAUGACCACACCAGAGAAACUCGACUAGAACCUCUCGGAGUUGCAAACGGACAGCUCUUCGGCUCGACUAGAACUUGUGGUGGCGUUUUGGGGGAGGGCUAUUUCGGGACUGUUUUUCAGCUAUUUUGCAAUUGAUUUUGGGACUGCUUUAAGGAUUGUUUUCGUCGGUGUCUUGAGGUCAUUUUUCAGAACUGUUUUGGUCCGUUUUCUGUUGCGUUUUUGCUGCUGAAAAUUGGUGUUUUGGGUGAUGUUUUGCUGAGGUUUUCGACUGCGUUUUGGUGGUGUUUUGGGUGACGUUUUACUGAGGUUUUCGGCUGCAUUUUGGUGGUGUUAACUAGUGGUUAACGGAGGUUCAUGGCUGCAUUUUCAGGUAGAUUUUCAGCUUGUUCUUUGAGCUUUUUGAGGUCAUUUUUGAGCAGCUUUUUUAUGGCUUUUUAAUGGGGUUUCAAGGAGAGUUUUACAUGGUUUUCAUGGAGGAUGGUGGCUGGUUGUUGGUGAGUUAUGGAUGGGAUUUCACUGGUGUUUUAAUGGAAUUUAGCAGCUAUUUUUUUUGUUGUUUUUAUGGCUGAAGAAGUUGGGUUUAUGGUUGUGGAUUUGCUGAAAAAAAGAAGAAAUGGACGAGCCGAAAAAGGAAGAAUUCCCUGAAAACUAAUCCUCACGUUGCUCACUCCUUGUUCUCUCUCUAUUCUUUUCCCUCUGUUUUUCUCCCUGUUUCUUUUGUUUCUUUCCAGAUCUAUAUCCUCCCCUCAGAUCCGUC
rnacentral:lncRNA from 1 species